UUGAUAUGGGGAGUACAGAGGGGAUUCCCCUCUGUCGCAGUCAGGAGGGUGCUCAGACUGCCCCCGCAGUCGUCGAAGGGAAC
rnacentral:sRNA from 1 species